CCUACGGGUGGCAGCAGUGAGGAAUAUUGGUCAAUGGCCGAGAGGCUGAACCAGCCAAGUCGCGUGAGGGAAGACGGCUCUACGGGUUGUACACCUCUUUUGUCGGGGAGCAAAGCGAGUCACGUGUGACUCCUUGAUAGUACCCGAAGAAAAAGCAUCGGCAAACUCCGCGCCAGCAGCCGCGGUAAUAUGGUGGAUGCGUGCGUUACCCGGAUUUAUUGGGUUUAAGGGGUGCUCAGGCGGAGGUGCAAGUCAGCGGUCAAAUUGCGGGGCUCAACCCCGUACUGCCGUUGAAACUGCAUCCCUUGAGUGCGCGAGAAGUGUGCGGAACUCGUGGUGUAGCGGUGAAAUGCAUAGAUAUCACGCAGAACUCCGAUUGCGAAGGCAGCAUACCGGCGCGCAACUGACGCUCAUGCACGAAAGCAUGGGUAUCGAACAGGAUUAGAUACCCUUGUAGUC
rnacentral:rRNA from 1 species